UUUUUUUUUUUGGUUUCAGGGUAUCAAAGAACUUAUAUUUAAGAACGGAGGGAGUAUUUUUGAAAGGAGAAAUAACUAUCAACGCCUCGAGGAGAAACGUAUACACAGGCGAUUCUCAUUCCAGCUAAAUUCUCAACUUCUGAUGAAGCCAUGACUCUACACAGUUUCCGACAAACAACAAAUUCCCGCACAAAAAAUACUGGAAAAAGGGAAUAAGAAAUGUAUAUACAGGCGAUGCUCUCACAUAUCAUGAAUCAGGACAGGUACUCAAAAGGUUGGGGCGGCUGGGGCUCGUCGUCGUCGACGGCCAUGGCAGAGGCACCGGGCACCGGCUGCCCUGUCGCGGGGGCGUCGGUGAGCACGACGAGCUCCUCGGCCUCGCUGGGCUGCAUGUCUCGUAGGAGGAUGAACCCGCCGCAGGGGGCGGGCCUCACGGGGACGUAUCGGCUGCCCUCGAUGAACUUGAUGAACUUCUCCUGCAGGGGGACGACGCGGGCUGGGUUCGCCAGGAUCUGGAAGGCCGGUUCUGGCUCUGGAGCCUUCUUCUCUGCAGUGCUGUCCACCUGGGAACAAAGAUUUCAGAGAGACGGGUCAAUCCAAAUGAGGCAGACACUGGGGUGGGUUCAUUACUGAGCAGCACAAGGCUGCAUAUUAACAGCUAAGGGCCAAGGGCGUAGCUAUGUUGUACUUGCUGUGAUGUCUAGUCCGUAAGAGGAUGCUGAUACAGUAACCAAGAUGGUUGUGAUGAAGUAAAACGACUAGAAUGUGGUUUAAUUAAUUAUAGGCUGAACCUUUCGAAGUUUGUAAAAUUCUUGGGUGAUGGGAAGAGGGUGAAGCGAAGCACAGAUUAAAUGAAGUUUUAUUCUUACCUGCAUUGCAUCAGCUGCCUUGCCAGAAGUAGAACCGGAAGCAUCUUCCGUUGACUUCUCCUGGUUAGCAGCUUUGCUUUCUGCUUCUGCUGCUGUCUUCUCCUGGUUAGCAGCAGCUUUGCUUUCCGCAUCCUUCUUCGCCCUAGAUUUUGCCUUGGCAUAGGUUGACAAAAUGGCUGUGGGCAGCUCGACAGCCGAAGUUGUAGCCUGCUGGGUCGUCGGUUUCGGAUACUCAAAGAGGGACGGCUUAGCAUGUGACAUAAAUUCAAACUUCGGCACUUCCAGAUUCGAGUUGAGACCCAUGAUGGCCGUUGGCGAGAAGGCCAGGCUGAUGAAGUAUAGGAGAGGGUACCAGUACCAGAACUGGGUGAAAACAGCGAGGCCAAUCACAGCAGUGAGCUUGUCAUGCUUGUUCCUCGAGCGAAGUUUGAUUGUGACAUUCCUGCCACCGGCAUCUAGAAUGCCAGAAGCAAGUAUGGCGCCCAUUUUGCUCAUGGUGUCCUCGUGCUUGUCAAGAAUGAUCUUUUCCAACUGACGCCUAAAUGUUCCAACACGAGAAUCAAAGGACUCAUUAGUCUGGAUCAUGACCAUUGCCAUAGCAAUUAGAGCCCCCUGGCGUACGAAGUCAACAACGUCUGAUGUGAGAGGCUCCAACAAGGAAAUGGCAUCACUUAACCCUGUGCCUGCACAGGAUAUCCCAACAGCUAGGGCUGCACCAUAACGAACAUGUGGGUUGUACGAUUCAGAGAGCAGGGACACAAUUCUUGGAGUCUGCAUUAUCAGAACAGAAGAUGUAAGUUGUGGAUCAAAGCUAUUGAUGAUUCUUUAUUUUAGCAUUUUUUUCUAUUAGAUGCCAAAGAGGUGCAGCAGCAUAAAUGCAUAAUGAACACCAGGUCCAUGUUGUUCCUUGGAAUAAAAUUGAAUAGAGGGCAGACCUGCUCAGGUUCGUUGUAUAGAACAAAUCCAAGACCCAUAACUGCAGUCCUACGAACAUCAUCACUGACGUCCGAUACAGCGAAGUGCAGCAGCUGAUGGAUAGCUUUGUUGUUUGCAGUUCCUCUGUACGCUAGAGCCAAUGCAUACAUACCACCAUAACGUAGUAUGGGAUCUUGAUCUCUAGUCAUUUGUUCGAUCAAGGUGUCAGCUUCCUCCUCCCUGCCAUACAUUGUCAAUGCGAUGCCAAGUGCCAAACCCCUGCGGAGCGAGAGAGAAAGAUGUCAGAAACAAGAGCUAGAUGCAUCUUCAGAAAUACCGCAACAAUUAUUGAACAGCACUGACCUGAUAAUCUUUUCAUGCUGUGUAUCAUGUGCAUAAGCAAGCAUCUCACCGGCCUUCUCACUGGCUGUGCCAACCAUGAGCAAACCCAUGCCGAUACCAGCUGCUUCACCAGCUACUGCACUGUCUGUGUAAAGGACAUUCUUUAUGUCCUCAAACACUUCUUCAUCUGCUGUCCCGAGAGAUGCAAGCCCAAGUCCCAAACAGGCACCAUGCUGGAUGACCUGUAUAAUAAUACAGUUUUGAUUAAGAAAAUUCACAAUAUAAUUAGCAUUACGCAAAAAGGACAAGGAACAAAAUGUCACCUCUGCACUGGUGUUGCGAAGGCUUUCACGGAGGAAUUGUUUGAUUCCUUCGCCAUGGUUGGCAUGAAUCAAACCUAAAGCAUAGAGGGCACCACCUUCUGAAUAUGGACUGCCACCACCAACUGCACCAUUUUGAGGUAGGUACGGGGCCAUCAAAGCCCGACCUUGCUGAAGGUGGCCUCUAUGAAUGACACCCAGUCCAGCUGUCGCACUAAAUUUAGCCCACUUGGUUGCCUUGCUUAACCAUUCCUAAAAGACAAUACCAAAAUGAGACAUUACAGGGGCAAAAAAAAAACUCUGCAUGACAACAAAACAACCAGAUUUUUUUUUACCAGAUUUUCUCUUAAAAAGGUAUCUACAGUUGUUCCUGCAUGCAUGAUCGCAUUGGAACAAACAGUUGCACUAUGGCAAACAUUGCCACUCGUUUCCACAGCCUGCUUUAUUGUCUUCAGAAUUAGAAGAUCAGACCUACCAAACAAACAAACCCAUCAAGGUGAUGUCAGAUAUAGAAGUUGCAAGAGACCAGGGUUCAACGUUUAGGACAUAAUAAGUUUACCUGUUGUGGCUAUACAAAAAUUGCAGCGUAAGCUGAAUAGACUUCUCCCCUGACAGUAUCCCUUUAAGUUUUGCAAGCCUAUCAGCAUGCGCUGCCUCAUUUGGAUCCACUGGGUGAGCAUUUCUGUUUGAAGUAGUUGUGCCAUCUCCCAUCUGAACAUCACCCGCUGGUUCUGUGCUAGUUGUACGCGCGUUAACAGUCUGAUCAACCGGUAAAGCUGACUGGCCAGGAGUCUGUGAGUCCAGGCGAUUCCCCACAUUCAGAAGGAAGGCCUGAUUUUCAUUUUCCACUAGAUCAAAAGCAAUUUGGUAUGCAAUGAGAGCAUCAUCCUGCAUAAUGAACACAAUAUCUCAAGUAAGCAACAGAGACCACAAUGUAAGUAGUGGUGGGCAGAGUAAAGAACAAACAUAUACCUGGCUUCCAGAAAGUAGUGUGUCCAAUAUAUUCGCAACAGUUUCAUGCUCGCCCAGAACCAUAAGGCACUGGCAGAUGCUCAGAUAAUCUGGAUGCGGCAAAGUCUGGUAUAUUUUAACAAGACAGCGAAGAACCUGGCAAUAAAAUGAAUUAUUAGAUCAACACAUAAAGAAUGUUAAUUUUUGAUUAUUGUAAACUAAACUACUUGCUUUUUAACUUAAUAAACCAAUCAUACUGCCAAAUAAAUUUUAACAUAAAAAACUUAGGAUACCUCAGAACGAUAUUCACGGUGACUAACAUAUUGAUGAGAAAAGUUGAUGCAAUAUGAAAGAGCCCCGUGAAUAUUAGCACACUGAACAAUUGCUUCCUCCAGCUUAUCCAGUCUCCUGCAUUCAACAGCCAUACCCAUGGCCUGUUGGUAUUUCCCAUCAAGAAUACACCUGCAGCAAAGAGUAACAUUAGCUAAAUACUCCAUCUGAUAAAUAAGAGUAUAUGUGCAAACGGUAGGAUAUAUUAUCAUACCUCUCCAACAUCCUCUCCACUAUGGCCUCUAGUCUAGGAUCCACAUUCUCUUCUUCCUCCAUAGCUUUAGAAGCUCUUGUCUUGAAACUCGCAUAUUCAUCUAAUGCUUUGGCUGAAAGAAAAGAAGCACCAAUUCAACACAAUGAGCAAAAGAAAUUCAUGUGAAAUAACAUCCAGAAUGAUUGAGAAAUAAAGACAAGUCGUCACCUAAAAGAGCCAGAGCAUAAUCAGAAUCCUCAGAAACAUCAAACAGAGGUCCAGCACCAAGUGCAUACGACAGUGCAUCGUUUAACUCGCCCAGGUAGUAGAACACCUACAUGAUAAUGAUACGCAGCAGUCAUCAAUAUAAGCAAUGCAAAAUACGCCGCUUCUAGAAAAGGUAUAAAAUAACUUGAGAUCCUACCUUAGAAACAACUAGUGCAGCAAGCUGUCUCUGGUCAAAUUCGUCGUCUUCAUACAUGCUCUCGCUGCAGGCAAAAGGAUAUGAUGGAAACAAAUUAUUGAUUUGCUUCCUUGGAAAUUCAGACAAGGAAUUUAUAAUCUGAGCUUGGGUAACAAACAAUAGAUUGACUUCCCAAAACAUGUGUCAUCCUAAACUAUUGCAACUUUGCAAGUAACAGUUGAAUGGUCAGUCUGUCAAAGAUGUUUCUUAGCACAGGGCAGGCAUUACAACUGAACUGAUUAUAAGCAACCGAGCGAAUCGAACUCGUAAAACAACUUGCACCAAACUGAAAGUUGAAAGCUUUCUGAAUUGUCUCCCCUCCUCAGUUGACACCUCACUCCUACAACUGUCAGUUAUAUCUAUCAAAGUGCAAAGAGUUGAAAUUUUUACGACUGCUACCAAAUACAGUAGCAUCGUUUUGUGAAUUCGCUUCGAACUCUCACGGAGGGCACAUCCGCGCACUCGGACCGGACGAGGCCAACCAAACGAAUCGCGGGACGGAAGGGAAAUCCUCGUCAACCGGCCGGCAUCUAGGGCGGCGGCAACUAGGUAUCGCGGGGAGGAUACGGGAGGGGGGGAGGGGUCUCACAUGGCGGGGAUGCUGGUGGAGAUCUCCGGGUAGAAGAGGUGGACGACGGAGUUGAGGCUGGCGAGCGCGUGCAGCUUGAGCUCCUCCGCCGGCUCGUGGAGCAUGGCGAGGAUCCCGCCCGCCGAGCUCACCGUCGCUGUCGCCGCCAUGGCCGCGUCGGCGAAGAGGUUGGUGUGCGCGAUGGUCUGUGGUUCGGUUCGGUGCGGGGCGUGUCGUGAGUUGGAGGAUGAGCACGCGAGACCUGGUACGCCGUCGUUGGGUUGCGGGCGAAUAUAAGGGCAGGACGGCGCGAUGGGUCGGUCGACUCGACUAGGGAGUCGGGCGACCAGUCCGACGCCAAAUCCUUCUGCGCUCCGUAACGAAACGGGCCGGCCCACUUAGCAGUGGUAUAGGAGUGGUCUGGCCGGUUUCUUUUGUGUGUUUUCUGUCCGUUUUCUGCUGGCGUUUGUUCAUUUUUUAACUUUUCUGUUUUCUAUUUAUUUUUCUUCAUCUUAAUUUUCGUGAAUUUUUAUUUUUAAAAUUCGUGAUUUUUUAUAUUCACAAAUUUUGACCAAAUUAGUGAACCUUUUCCAAAUUAUCUAAUCUUUUACCAAAUUUUACAAUUUUUCUGUAAUUCGUGACUUUUUCAAAUUUUGUUUUUUUAAGUAAAAAAUUCCAAAUUCAUGAACUCUUAUCCAAAUUCAUUAAAUGUUUUAAAUUCUUGCUAUUUUUCAAAUUCAUGAACUUUUUCAAUUUUGUGAAGUUUUUUCAAAACCCGUGAACAAUUUUUUUGAAUUAUAUGCUUUUUGAAAUCACAUGAACUUUCUCGAAAAGGAAAAUGGUUAACAGUCUAAGUCAAAGGUCAACUUAUCGGAAAGUGAACCAAUCAAACCAUCAACCCUCUCAGCCACUCGCUCACCCGUGCCAUGUGGUGAGCACCACUUUGUUGGGACGGCCCACAAGCCCUCUCACGUGAGCAUCAUUUGCAUAACAAGGGCAGCAGGUUCUGAGGAGGAGGUCUAUAGUCCUACUAUGUUUGUUGACUUCAUUCGCGAUCAGGCGGAAGAGUCAGUUUUCGUCCGCACCUGGCUGAAGAUGACGUUUUCGUCCAAGCAUGGGCCAAAGAUGGACUCUUUGUUGCGGCUCUGGGCGAAAAUCAUCUCUUUAGUCAAUGUUAGACCGAAGAGGGCUUCUAGGUCCACCUCUUCACGUAAACUGCCAACAAAGUUGCAUGUCGUUCUUAGGGCGGACGAAAAGUUGCUCUAGAGAAACAAUUCGAGGUUUCACGGAAAAUCAAGGGGACAAUGUCCUAGUGCCGACAUUGGGGACGAGUUUUGAUACUUUGGGAGAAGCCUACGACUUUUACAACCUGUACUCUUGGGAGAAGGGAUUCGGCAUUAGGUAUGGAAAGAUUUGACUAGGCCUCCUUUGGCUUGGAGGAAUUUUAGAGGACAGGAUUCUUAUAGUUUAUUUUUUUUCUUUAGAGCCCUUUGGUUCAUAGGAAUGGAUUCCUAUUCCUACAUAGGAUUGCUUCCUAUCCUCCACAUUUCAUAGGAAAAUAAAAAUGAGCCUAGACUCAAUGGAAAAAUUCCUUUGGUGUCAACCAAAUGGCAUCUCGUUUUCUAUUCCUACCCAUAGGAUUUGAGAUACAUGUCAUCUCAUUUCCUACAAAAUUCUUAUCCCUAAGAUAAUCAUAUCCUAUGAACCAAAAGAGACCUAAAUGUUGAGAAGACGAAGCGCAUGCAAGAAGUUGUUUGUGGGUGUGCGGUGAGUACAUCUUACUAUAAUGUAUGAUGUGUUUGCACAAAAAACUGGACAGAAAAAUGAAAUGUAAAUAUUUCGCUAACGUUUGAAUGUGGUGUUCUUGUUCAUGGUAAGGCGGGGUGGAGAACACAAGGUCUUGCCGUUGUGAGUGCCCUACACUGAUAAGAUUGUUGAGAUCAAAGGACAAUGGCUGGUACAUAGCAGAGCACCAUGAGCAGCACACUCGUUUGUUGUCCCCGACGUAUGGGCAGACAAUACACUGGCCGUCUGCCCAUCACACAAGCAUAUAAAUGUCUACAACCGGGAUUUGGUGAAGAAGCUUCGGCAGCAAUGUCAACCUUGCAAAGGUGUACAACAUUAUUGGUAGCUUCUUUGGAUCCAUGGAAAAGGUCCUUUCACAAAGAGGGCGUUGAAGAAUCUGUGUGGUAAGAUAAACCAUGAGCAGGCAGAGGAUGAUGUAAGGAAAACAAUGGAAGUUUUUGCCGAGCUUUUUGCGAGAGAUCCACACUUGCACCCUUCACCAUGUGCAAGCUGACAAGGGCAGUAGGGUCACAUCGUUGAUGUGGGCAAAUAGAAGUAGUAGAAAGCAGUACACCUUCUUCGACAAUGUUGUUAUGUUUGACAUGACUUACAACACAAACCUCUAUAAUACGCCCUUUGGGCUUUUCGUCAGAGUUAACAACCAUUUUCAAAGCAUAAUACUCGCGGGAGUGCUAGUCCGUGACAAGAUGGUGGAGACAUUUGAGUGGGCUAUCUCUGAGAUCGUUAGGAUGAUGGGAGGCAAUGCGCCAAAACAAUUUUGACAGGUACAAGUUUAUGCACAUGAUAGUGCUAAUUGCAAUCGGAUGAGGUUAGCACGCACACACACACACAGAGAGAGAGAGAGAGAGGGAGAGAGAGAGAGAGAGAGAGAUAGAUAGAUAGAUAGAUAGAUAGAGAGAUGGCAGUCGUUUCGAGGAAGAAGAAAGCCUCGAUGUUAUCCCGAAACUCUUCGUUUGGGAGUGGAACGAAGAAUUCAUCUUUGUUUUUUCACGGGUAGAAUUCAUCUUUGGUGCUGCCGCGGACGAAGACCGUCUCUUUGGCCCAACAGGCCAUGAGGAUACCUCUUCGGUCGAGGAAAGAGUCUUUUCGGUCCACGAGGGAACGAAGAGUGAUCUUCAGUCAUGGCAUGACCCAUGAGGUUUAAUAUAAAAAAGUCCAAAGACAAAUUUGCUAUGGAAACAUCAUACCCUAGAGUUUUUAUGGGAGGAUGAGCCCCAGACUUCAUGGUUGAAUGCCUUUCAAACGAUGUAACUAUAUUACCUAUGCAAUAAGGUAUCCAUGAUGGCAUUCCCCCAAAAAAGAUAUAAUAAAUUAUACACUCUCGAAACUUCCACGUUCCAUCAAGAUAUUUAUCAGACCAUAUGUAUUUCUAACAAUAUAUGCAUGAAUAAUAAGACAAGCGCGAACAUAUACGUAUACCUAUGAUACAUCAAAGUGUCAUAAAAUUGGUCAAUGGAGGGCGUAAUUUCGUUUAGUUUGUAUCUUUAUGUGGUCUAGGUGGAGCUCCCAUAUUGCCUAAGUUUUGUACGAGGAAAUAUCUCGAGGGUAAAAAUUAACAUGACUUUCCUUUUAGAAUAUUAUUUAAGCCUAGUGUACAAUAACAUCAUAGUUGAAUAUUCAAUUGUUGUAUUUGAAUAUUUAAAUGUACAAUUAUAUUUUUAAUUUGGUUAAAGAUAAUAGAAAUAUACCAUUUAAGACCAUGCUUAGGUGCAUUUAGUUAUAAAGUAGUAAAAAAUGUUCACCUCGGUGUGGGUGCAUGGCGGUUGCGGAGAUGAUGUACGCCGGCGGCUAAAGGUGCGGCCGGAUAUAAAGGAUAACGCAGGCUUGCGGACGAUGAGCACGUGACCAGACGAGGUACGCCAGCGUUGUGGGCGAAUAUAAAAGGGGGGACGACGCGAUGGGUCGGUCGACUAGGAUAGGGAGUCGACCAGUCCGACGCCAAAUCCUAUUCUGCGCUCCAUAACGAAACGGGCCGGCCCACUUAGCACUGGUAGUGCGGUUUUCCUAUUAUGGUGCCGGUUUCUUUUGUUUGUUUUCUGUCCGUUUUCUGCUGGCAUUUGUUCAUUUUUUUAACUUUUCCGUUUUCUAUUUAUUUCCUUUUUAUUUUUCUUCAUUUUAAUUUUAGUGAACUUUUCUUUUUAAAGUUUGUGAUUUUUUUAGAUUCACAAAUUUUGACCAAAUUCGUCAACUUUUUCCAAAUUAUCUAAUCUUUUACCCAAUUUUGCAUUUUUUUCUGAAAUUCGUGGCUUUUUCAAAUCCAUGAAUUUUUUCAAAUUUUGUUUUGAAGUAAAAAAAACUAAAUUCUUGAACUUUUUUUAAAUUCAUGAACUCUUAUCCAAAUUCAUUAAAUGUUUUAAAUUUUUGCAUAUUUUUCAAAUUCAUGAACUUUUUCAAUUUUGUGAAGUUUUCUCGAAACCCGUGAACAUUUUUUGAGUUCUAUACUUUUUGAAAUCACAUGAACUUUCUCGAAAAAGAAAAUGGUCAACAAUCUAAGUCAAAGGUCAACUUAUCAAAAAGUGAACCAGUCAAACCAUCAACCCGCUCAGCCACUCGCUCACCCGUGCCAUGUGGUGAGCAUCAGUUUGUUGGGCCGGCCCACAAGCCCUCUCACGCGAGCAUCGUUUGCUUAAACAGGGCAGCAUGUGCUGAGGAGGAGGUCUAUAGUCCUACUGCGUUUGUUGACUUCAUUCGCGAUCAGGCGGAAGAGUCGAUUUUUGUCUGCACGUGGCUAAAGAUGACGUUUUCGUCCAAGCAUGGCCAAAGAUGGGCUCUUUGUUGUGGCUCCGGGUGAAAAUCAUCUCUUCAGUCAAUGUUAGACCAAAGAGGGCUUCUAGAUCCACCUCUUCACGUAAACUGCCAACAAAGUUGCAUAUCGUUUUUAGGGUGGACGAAAAGUUGCUCUUUGUUUUGUUGUGGAUGAAUUUUUUUUUUCUGAUUGCCCUCAUCAUUCCCUCUCACGCCCUUUUCCUUCCCGCCCUUUCCCUUCCCGACAUCCCUCCCCCGCCCUUUUCCUUCCCGCCAUCACCUCUCUUGUGCUUUUUCUUUCCGACAUCUCACUCCUCCUCCUUUGUUCCUUUCCACUCGUUCUCUUGCCUCGCUCAUUCUAUUAAACUCCUCCCCUACUUGUUGAUUAUGAAUGUCCCAAACUUGUCCUCCAUCGUCCUCUGAUUAGCCUUCCCUCACCUUCAUCUUCUUCAAAAUUACCAGAAUCUAUAUCACCCGCUAAUCUAUCAUCAUCCUUCUCUUCCAUCACCCUGUGCAUUUCCUUCCCUUUCACAUUCCCAUUAGACAAACCACUACCACCAAUUACUACUGAUUGACUGCUCAACCCUACUUCAUGACCAAUGAAAAUGUGUAACACAUAAUUUGACUCUACAUCGGGAUGGCUAACAUCCACUGGUUGUGACCCAGGUGGAUCAAUGUCAUUAUAAUUAGACGACUGGCUACCUUGGUCGGGUUCAUAGCAUAUACCCCAUCGCCAUCCAACAAACUCUCCUACUUCCAUCAAGAUAUUUAUCAGACCAUAUGUAUUUCUAACAAUAUAUGCAUGAAUAAUAAGACAAGCACGAACAUAUACAUAUACCUAUGAUACAUCAAAGUGUCAUAAAAUUGGUCAAUGGAGGGCGUAAUUUUGUUUAGUUUGCAUCUUUAUGUGGUCUAGGUGGAGCUCCCAUAUUGCCUAAGUUCUGUACGAGGAAAUAUCUCGAGAGUAAAAAUUAACAUGACUUUCCUUUUAAGAUAUCAUUUAAGCCUAGUGUACAAUAACAUCAUAGUUGAAUAUUCAAUUGUUGUAUUUGAAUAUUUAAAUGUAUAAUUAUAUUUUUAAUUUGGAUAAAGAUAAUAGAAAUAUACUAUACCAUUUAAGACCAUGCUUAGGUGCAUUUAUUUAGUUAUAAAGUAGUAAAAAAUGUUCAGCUCGGUGCGGGGGUGUGGCGUCGCGAGUUCGGUUGCGGACGAUGAGCACGGUUGCGGAGGAUGUACACCGAUAUCGGAAGGUGCGGGCGAAUAUAAAGGACGGCGUGAUGGUCGACUAGGAUAGAGAGUCAGACUAGUCCGACGCCAAAUCGCGCUCGGGGCGCAGACACCCCCGACCGAAACGGGCCAACCCACUUCGUACUGUACCGGUAUGCGGUUUCUAGUUUUUUUUUGUGGCCGGUUCUUUUGUGUUUUUUUUCUGUCUCUUUUUUGCUGGUUUUUGUUAUUUUUUUUCUUUCAAGUUUUGUCUUCAUUUUUCCUUCAUUAUUCAUUUUUAUUUUCAUGAAAAUUUCUUUUACAUAUUCAUGAUUUAUUUUAAAUUUGCAAAUUUUGUCCAAAUUUGUGAAAAAACAAAUAUCUUUUUCCGAAUUUCAAUGUUUUCAAAUUCAUGAAUAUUUUCCCAAAUUCACAAAAAAAAAUCAAAUUCAUGAUUUUUUCCAAAUUAACAGUUUUCCCUAAAUUUCCUGAACUUUUCAAAUGUGUUAACUUUUUAAAAACCCAUGAAUGUUUUUUCCGAAUGCUGCAAUUUUUAAGAUCACAUGAACUUUUCAAAAAAAGUCAAUGGUCAAGGGUCUAAGUCAAUGGCCAAUCUGCCAAAAGGUGGACCAAUCAAACCAUCAACCCGCUUAGCCACUCGCUCACCCGUGCGUGUGGUGACCACAGGUUUGUUUGGCCAGCCCACAACGCUCUCUUGUGUGAGCACCGUUUGCUUAAUUGGUGCACAAGCGCUACGAAGGAGGUCUCUAGUUUGAAUGUGUUUGUCAACUUCAUUCGCGGACAGGCCGAAGAGCCAGUUUUUGUCCGCACCUUGGUCAAAGAGGACAUUUUCGUCCACAUAUGGGCCAAAGACGGGCUCUUCUUUGCGGCUCCGGACGAAAAUCAUCUCUUCAGUCAUUGUUAGAUUGAAGAGGGCUUCUAGGCCCAUCUCUUCGCGUAAACUUCCUAACGAAGUUGCAUGCCAUUCUUAGGGCGAACAAGAGUUGCUCUUCCUUUCUAUUGAGGAAGAAGUCUUUUUUUAUUGCCCUUCAUCAUUCCCUCUCACGUCCUUUUCCUUCCCACCAUCCAUCUCCCGCUCUUUCCCUUCUCGUCAUCCCUCUUCUACCCAUUCCCUUCCAGCCGUCAUCUCUCACACGCCUUUUCUUCUCUACAUCUCACUCAUCCUCCCAUGUUCCUUCCCACCCUCUUGCCUCGCUCAUUCUAUUAACCCCCCCCCCCACUUGCUGUCUCUGAACGUCCCAAACUUAUCAUCCAUUGUCCUCUGCUUAGCCUUCACAUAACGAAUUUCAUAGUUAUAUGUUGCUUUCACCGCAUUUUGGUGUGCUUCGCUUCCAUGUCUUUCUUCUCCACUAUCUCAUUUAUACAUGAGUUUUUUAUGAGAGUUGAAUUCAGGUUGGGAUGAUCAACUAGAAUGUUUUUCCUCACAUAAUUAUAUGGAACAAUAUUAGUGACAACCCAGUGCAUGUUUCACUUGGGCAUGUGGUCGUGCACCUUGUCGAGAACCAUUUUAAGCACAUUUCAAAGUUAUAAGUUUGUUUGACUUGAUAUGUGUGUGUGAAAACCCUAUGCACCGACAUAGCCCGCUCCAUUAUGUCACUUCAUUCUUCAGUUGUUUCUUUAUGGCAUAAAUAGCGAAAACUCAAAACGGUGCCCGGGCUCAUCUGCUCCCUCUCAGCAAAAAAAAACAAAAAAAAAUAAUAGAAAUUUUUUAAAAAUUCCAAAAAAAAUUUGGUGGUAGAUAAUUUGACGCGUGAGGUGCGCCCCAAAAUUCAACUUAUUUGGACAUCUGAGCAGCUCCCGGCAAAAAAGACAAAUCGGGUCAAAACAGUGCGUGAACAGUGAACAUUUUUACAGACCCUGAUUUUGUCUUUUUUGCCGAGAGCUGCUUAGAUGCUCAAAUGAGAUGAAUUUUGGGGCGCACCUCACGCGUCAAAUUAUCUACCACCAUAAAAAAAUUGGAAUUUUUUGAAUUUUUCUAGUAUUUUUUUAAAUUUUUUUCUAAGCGUAGGUGCAGAUGAGCCCGGGUGCAGAUUAGCCGCACUCCAUAAAUAGCACCUAUUUUGGACCUGGUUCUAAUGAUAUUCCCAUGCAGACUCAUGGACUCCCAUCGAUUCAUGGUCAGGCCGGUUGAGAGGCCCUGAUUCCAUGCAUAAGGAAUCGACACCUCCUACUUGUCGUCAUCCUCACUCACCUUCAUCUUCUUAAAAAAUAUCAGAAUCUAGAUCAUCCGCCAAUCCAUUCUCAUCCGCCAAUCCAUUGUCAUCCUUCUCUUCCAUCAUCCUUUGCAUUUUCUCCCCUUCCCCGUCCACAUUAGCCAAACCACUAGCAGCAAUAUUAGCCAAACCACUAGCAACAAUUACAGAUGACUGACUCCUCAACCCUGUUUCACGACAAACGACGACGUGUGGCAUGUAAUUUUACUAUUCAUCGGUUGUGACCCAGGUGGCUGAAUCUCAUUAGCCGACUGACUACCCUGGUUGGGUUCAUACACCCGGCCGCCUUCCAAUAAAUUCUCCUCCUUCGGCACAGUGAAUCAUCCGUUUUCUGCAACGCCUUAACCAGGUCAACCACUUAGGCUGGUCAUAGUGAGAAGUAACUUAGACUAGUAACAUGCAUAUGUUACUACCUCUAUAGUGCAUAUUAUCAUAGAUUAGUAUCAUAGAUGGUUUCAUUUAUUGCUAUGCAUGACACAUAGUAGCAUCACAUUUAUUAUGUUACGGUAUCUACCUAUGUUACUAUAACCAUCUUUCUCUUCUUUAAUUGCCUGCCACAUAAGCAUGUUUGCGAGUUCCAAGUGCAUGAUACUACUUAUGUUACCCCCACUAUGGUCAGCCUUAGGCUGGUCAUAGUGAGAAUAACAUAAGUCGUAACAUACAUGCCACAUAAGCAAAAAAGAUGAUGUGUCAGGUAAUUAAUGAAGAGAGAGGCAAAUAGAGUAACAUAAUAUGUUACCAUCACAUAGCGGUUUCCAAUGCAAAACGAGUCUACAAAGUAAUAAAUGAGGUGAUGCAUGACACACAUAUGUUACUACCCACUAUAGAGGUAGUAACAUAGACUAGUAACAUAUGCAUGUUACUAGUCUAAGUUACUCCUAUCUAUCAUGUUCAACUCCCACAAAACAUUUUUACCAGAUUUGGUCCAUACUGCAUAAAUACUAACGGAGCACUCGUUGGGAUCAGACCCAAGACUUGUUGUCAACCAGUAUUUCAACUUGUUGCCAUAGUAAACAGUGCAAUCCACGGACUCAGACAUGCCACCUGCCAUACAACUCCAUAUUUGCCAUUAAACACAUUGAACAAAUAGUCACUCCUAACAAUGGUAACCAACAGGGGUGCCCCUCGAGCAGCAACUGCAAUGACAUCCUUCCUCCCAACGGUGGCCCAAACCCUCCCCAGACUGUGCCCUCCCCUCUGGACACAGGCGAGGAAAGAAGACCUCGCAGCACGUAUUCUGCCAAUGCCUCCCAGCCUCCACGACACCAGCAAAGGCCUCCCUCCCCGUGCUUGACCCAAUCUAAAUCGGUAACAGCCGGCCAAAUCGAUACCCUGGGAGCUUAGUGAAUUUAGAGAUUCAUCUGCUGUUGAGUACACAACAAUUACCUCGCGAUAUGGAUGAACAAGACAAUCACAUCCCUGGAUCUGUAGAAAGAAGGGCUUCAUCUAGGCAGCAAAUGAGGUUUCGACAAGCAAUGAUCAAGUUCAGACUCCAUUUGUUUGCAAGAGCAGCGCGAGCCGAAAUUGCACCAUAAUACUCAGUGGUACUCUUCCAGCCGUCCAUCUCACACGCACAGACACAUUGUUCACAUCGAUAAUAACAAGACUAACAACGGAAUCGCCAAUCAAUCAAUAAAAUAGAGUCAAUUAAAACACAAGGAAAAUGACAAGUAGCCAAGAGCUAUAGGAGGAACCUGAUGGUGGAGACCACAACAUACUAGUACAAGUUCCCACAUAAGAGGUUCCGAGCAACUAUAUCAAAGAAAUGCUUUAUUAUUAUUCCACGGUUUGUCAACUUCGGAGGCUACAAGAACAGCAGGCGUAAUGUGUCGUCAAACAAAAUAAGACCCCAGAACAGGGAGCAAUCUAGAAUCAUAUAAGAAACCGACCAACAACUGACAAAUAUAGCUGCUCCAGGGCAUACCCCCCCUUCCUACAUGAUGUCAACACUCUAGGCUGCAAAACUUAAGACAGGGACAAUCAUUUUGCCUUUAUUCUCUUCGUACGGAGGAGUUAAACUCCUCCUUUA
rnacentral:lncRNA from 1 species